rnacentral:rRNA from 1 species
UACGGAGGGUGCAAGCGUUAUCCGGAUUCACUGGGUUUAAAGGGUGUGUAGGCGGGCAGAUAAGUCAGUGGUGAAAUCCCCGAGCUUAACUUGGGAACUGCCAUUGAUACUAUUUGUCUUGAAUGUCGUGGAGGUUAGCGGAAUAUGUCAUGUAGCGGUGAAAUGCUUAGAUAUGACAUAGAACACCCAUUGCGAAGGCAGCUAACUACGCGAAUAUUGACGCUGAGGCACGAAAAGCGUGGGGGAUCAAACAGG